UACGUAGGGGCUAGCGUUGUCCGGAAUCAUUGGGCGUAAAGAGCGUGUAGGCGGUCCGGUAAGUCCGCUGUGAAAGUCGGGGCUCAACCCUCGAAUGCCGGUGGAUACUGUCGGGCUAGAGUGCGGAAGAGGCGAGUGGAAUUCCUGGGUGUAGCGGUGAAAUGCGCAGAUAUCGGGGAGGAACACCCGUAGCGAAGGCGGCACUCUGGGCCGGAACUGACG
rnacentral:rRNA from 1 species